rnacentral:rRNA from 1 species
UAGGGAAUCUUCCACAAUGGACGAAAGUCUGAUGGAGCAAUGCCGCGUGAGUGAAGAAGGGUUUCGGCUCGUAAAACUCUGUUGUUAAAGAAGAACACCUUUGAGAGUAACUGUUCAAGGGUUGACGGUAUUUAACCAGAAAGCCACGGCUAACUACGUGCCAGCAGCCGCGGUAAUACGUAGGUGGCAAGCGUUGUCCGGAUUUAUUGGGCGUAAAGCGAGCGCAGGCGGUUUUUUAAGUCUGAUGUGAAAGCCUUCGGCUUAACCGGAGAAGUGCAUCGGA